rnacentral:lncRNA from 1 species
AAUGUUUUGUAACGAAUUACACAAAACUAGGAAGGGAUUAUUAUUAUUAUUAUUUUUUUUAAGAGAUAGGUAGCAUGCUAUUCGCUUUAUUUAUUUUAUUUAGAAAUAAACUUAGCUGUAAAUGUGAAUCAACUAGGAUUCGAACUUAGGUCUCGGAUACCAAUCAAUAAGCUCUUUGCCACUUGCUCUGGGAAUGGUCGGUCUAGGAAGGGAUAUAUAUUUUUUUUUAGAGAUAGAUAGCACGCUACCCGCUUCGUUUAUUUUAUUUAGAAAUAAACUUAGCUGAAAAUGUGAAUCAAUUAGGAUUCGAACUUAGGUCUCGGAUACUAACUACCGAGCCCUUUGCCACUUGCUCUAGGGACGAUUGGUUCUAGGAAGAGAUAUUUCAC